UCAUCAACCUCUUGUCCAGGUUACUAUAAACUUGGCAUUGUUUAAAAGCACUUACCCGCUGUUUAUUUUAUGCCUCACUCUUCCUGCAGAGCAAUUUCCAGUAAGGAUGCAGUUAGAACAUCUGCCACCUGCUGGCCAAAGGCAGAGGUGGAAAAUCCAGGUCCAGAACGUGAAACUUCCUGCCAGUUUGUCUUCCGCCUCUGUGCCCUAGUUCACCUAGGUCUAUGCUGCCGGAAGAGCCAUCUGCUAUGUAGCGCGCGAUCUGAUGGUAGUGGAAGCUGAGGACAAGAGUAGCAGCACUUUGUUGUUUUUGCUUACUCAGCUCUAAGGCAACCUGAGAAGAAGCAAGGAGCACAAUCUGCUUCCUGGUCAUGCAGCUUCCAAUACCCAGUGCAAUAAACUUCUUGCACACUGGUAAGUAUCAUGCCAAAACAUUUUCUGCACAAAAUGUUGAUUUACAUUUUUA